AGUCGUAACAAGGUUUCCGUAGGUGAACCUGCGGAAGGAUCAUUACCGAGUGCGGGCUGCCUCCGGGCGCCCAACCUCCCACCCGUGACUACCUAACACUGUUGCUUCGGCGGGGAGCCCUCUCGGGGGCGAGCCGCCGGGGACUACUGAACUUCAUGCCUGAGAGUGAUGCAGUCUGAGUCUGAAUAUAAAAUCAGUCAAAACUUUCAACAAUGGAUCUCUUGGUUCCGGCAUCGAUGAAGAACGCAGCGAACUGCGAUAAGUAAUGUGAAUUGCAGAAUUCAGUGAAUCAUCGAGUCUUUGAACGCACAUUGCGCCCCCUGGCAUUCCGGGGGGCAUGCCUGUCCGAGCGUCAUUGCUGCCCAUCAAGCCCGGCUUGUGUGUUGGGUCGUCGUCCCCCCCGGGGGACGGGCCCGAAAGGCAGCGGCGGCACCGUGUCCGGUCCUCGAGCGUAUGGGGCUUUGUCACCCGCUCGAUUAGGGCCGGCCGGGCGCCAGCCGACGUCUCCAACCAUUUUUUUCAGGUUGACCUCGGAUCAGGUAGGGAUACCCGCUGAACCUAAGCAUAUCA
rnacentral:misc_RNA from 1 species